rnacentral:rRNA from 1 species
CAGCCGCCGCGGUAAUACGAAGGGUGCAAGCGUUAAUCGGAAUUACUGGGCGUAAAGGGUGCGUAGGCGGUUGUUUAAGUCUGUUGUGAAAGCCCUGGGCUCAACCUGGGAAUUGCAGUGGAUACUGGGUCACUAGAGUGUGGUAGAGGAUAGUGGAAUUUCCGGUGUAGCAGUGAAAUGCGUAGAGAUCGGAAGGAACGUCUGUGGCGAAGGCGACUAUCUGGGCCAACACUGACACUGAGGCACGAAAGCGUGGGGAGCAAACAGGAUUAGAUACCCCCGUAGUCCCUGUCUCUUAUAC